CAUUAAAUGACCCUUUCUGGAGAGUUUUGUGCAAAGAAAAGGAGAAAUUGAGUCUUACAUGAUAUGUGUAACACUGCCAGGUUAAGAGCCUAUAGUUUGCAUUUUUGAAGUAUCAACAGGUAUUAGGGCAUUUAGCAUUUACAUUACUGUUAAUCAGUCAUCACUUGAUUACACAUUGUAUUACCUUGAUAUAAGAAGUGACCCAUACAACAUACAUAAUGUGCCACAUGAAGCAUAUGACAAUAGCAACAGCUGAGAAGAUUUGGGUCUGGGGUGACCAGGUCCAAGUUUUUAGUUUUAGGAGAAGGCAUUUUAUCUGUUAAUCAUACCAACGUAGACCCUUAUGCGUUAUGUAGUUGACCUGCAGUGGUGAAUUGUCUGCAGUACUGUGCGGAAAUAUCAUGUUUUCGAAAGCAUCACUUUCAUCGAAUUUCAUGUGCCACAUAUUUCCAUUAGGCAACUGACUGCCAGCAGGCACAUCCAGACACAAACGAGCAGGCUGAUGUCCCGGGGCUGAGCACCAGAGAACCCCGGCCCAAUUUAACCACCCAAUCGACUAACUACACUAUUUAUCUUGGCAUGAAGGGUCAUUUCCUCUGCCUCUAGCCUUGAUGCUAUGUGAUAAGCGUUGCUGUCCUUUUCCUUUGACGUUUUUCACUCAUCAAAUUGACCUUUUCAUUAUAAGGAUCUUUCUAACCUCUAGAUCAUGUGAGACUCUGUUCCAUUUACUUUGCCGCCCAGGUGUUUUGGAUUGAUUUUGGUUUAUUAAUUAUUAAAAGGGGCGUGGUGUGUGCACCACAAUGAC